ACCAGGAUGGCCGAGUGGUUAAGGCGUUGGACUUAAGAUCCAAUGGAUAAGUUUCCUCGUGGGUUCAAACCCCAGCUCAUGGUA